AUCUUCGGGGUUGGGUGCAAUUCCCUAUCGGCGGUACAGCCCGCGAGCGCGAGAGCGCAGAUCCGGUGAGCGAGAGCAAGUCCGGGGCCGACAGUGACAGUCUGGAUGAAAGAAGAUG
rnacentral:ncRNA from 1 species